AUUGAACGCUGGCGGCAGGCUUAACACAUGCAAGUCGAGCGGGGUGAUGGUGCUUGCACUAUCACUUAGCGGCGGACGGGUGAGUAAUGCUUAGGAAUCUGCCUAUUAGUGGGGGACAACAUCUCGAAAGGGAUGCUAAUACCGCAUACGUCCUACGGGAGAAAGCAGGGGAUCACUUGUGACCUUGCGCUAAUAGAUGAGCCUAAGUCGGAUUAGCGAGUUGGUGGGGUAAAGGCCUACCAAGGGGACGAUCUGUAGCGGGUCUGAGAGGAUGAUCCGCCACACUGGGACUGAGACACGGCCCAGACUCCUGCGGGAGGCAGCAGUGGGGAAUAUUGGACAAUGGGGGGAACCCUGAUCUAGCCAUGCCGCGUGUGUGAAGAAGGCCUUAUGGUUGUAAAGCACUUUAAGCGAGGAGGAGGCUCUUUUGGUUAAUACCCAAGAUGAGUGGACGUUACUCGCAGAAUAAGCACCGGCUAACUCUGUGCCAGCAGCCGCCGUAA
rnacentral:rRNA from 1 species